rfam:Felis catus isolate Cinnamon breed Abyssinian chromosome F2, whole genome shotgun sequence.
GCCUGGGUGGCUCAGUUGGUUAGUGUCUGACUUUGGCUCAGGUCAUGAUCUCACAGCUCGUGAGUUCGAGUCCCACGUCGGGCU